rnacentral:rRNA from 1 species
UACGUAGGGUGCGAGCGUUGUCCGGAUUUAUUGGGCGUAAAGGGCUCGUAGGCGGCCUGUCGCGUCGGGAGUGAAAGCCCACUGCUUAACGGUGGGUCUGCUUCCGGUACGGGCGGGCUGGAGUAUGGCAGGGGAGACUGGAAUUCCUGGUGUAGCGGUGGAAUGCGCAGAUAUCAGGAGGAACACCGGUGGCGAAGGCGGGUCUCUGGGCCAUUACUGACGCUGAGGAGCGAAAGCGUGGGGAGCGAACAGU